CUAAUACCGGAUAAGAUAUACGAACCGCAUGGUUCGAUAGUGAAAGAUGGUUUUGCUAUCACUUAUAGAUGGACCCGCGCCGUAUUAGCUAGUUGGUGAGGUAACGGCUCACCAAGGCAACGAUACGUAGCCGACCUGAGAGGGUGAUCGGCCACACUGGAACUGAGACACGGUCCAGACUCCUACGGGAGGCAGCAGAU
rnacentral:rRNA from 1 species